GCGUCGGUGGUGCAGACAGUUCGAGCACAUGCCUCCAGACACGGUGAAAUGUGGGCUCGAAUCCCAUCUGACGCA